rnacentral:snRNA from 1 species
AUACUUACCUGGACAGGGUCAAUGAGUGAUCAGGAAGAGCAGUGACUUGCAUUGCACUUGGAAGGGGUGCUGCUUUAAGGUCUCCCCAAGAGGGAGAGCCUACGUCAUAAUUUGUGGCACUGGGGGCUUGCGUACGCGCAGCCCCUAU